GGGUUGUGAGGUUAAGCGACUAAGCGUACACGGUGGAUGCCCUGGCAGUCAGAGGCGAUGAAGGACGUGCUAAUCUGCGAUAAGCGUCGGUAAGGUGAUAUGAACCGUUAUAACCGGCGAUUUCCGAAUGGGGAAACCCAGUGUGAUUCGUCACACUAUCAUUAACUGAAUCCAUAGGUUAAUGAGGCGAACCGGGGGAACUGAAACAUCUAAGUACCCCGAGGAAAAGAAAUCAACCGAGAUUCCCCCAGUAGCGGCGAGCGAACGGGGAGGAGCCCAGAGCCUGAAUCAGUG
rnacentral:rRNA from 1 species